rnacentral:rRNA from 1 species
GUAAGUGAAAAUUAAAAGUCCAUCUUUUAGGUGUGUACUUAAUUUUUACUUCCUUCUUUUUGAAUUCACUCCUACUAUAAUAUUUAUAUUAUGUAGGAUCAAAGUGGUUCAAAUCUUUUACUGUGAAAAAAUUAGAGUGUUCAAAGCAGGCGUAACCUAGCCUUUGAAUAUAUUAGCAUGGGAUAAUGAAAUAGGAUUUUGGUCCUACUUUCGUUGGUUUCUAGGGCUAAAAUA